CUCGACGGUGCCGCGUUUCGGGACUUGAUUCCGAACCGUGGCCGAGGCCCGAUUAGCCCGUCCGACAGCGCUCGGGCACUUUCGGACAGGAGGAGGCGGCGAGCCGAGGCUCGCUCGUGAGGAUCCCUGCUCGGGAGCGUUCGGCUCCGCUCGGCUCCUCCUCGGGCGGGCUCGGCUCCCGCGGGCGGCGGGUGCAGGCGGAGCCUGCAGCGCAAGGUUCUCUAGGCCGGGUCGCGCUGCGUCGGAGGCCGGCGGAGUCGGCCUCACAGUACGGGACCCUGUUGUCUGGGGACCACGGCCGGCGCGGCCUUCUAGGCCCUGAGGAGGGCUAGCGCAGAGCCUCUCGGAAACCCUCGUGCUGCCUCGGACCAAUUCGGACCGACUCGGCUCCGCACUUCGGACCACUUCGGCCCCCCCUCGUUUCCGGACUCCAGGCCUCGGCUCGGCUCGACUCGACAGGGCCUCUUCGUGCUGGUUCGGCCCCUGUUCGGGCAGCCCCGGCUCGGCCUGGCGGCCGGCUUCGGGCGGUCUCGGCUCAGCUCGGCUCGGUUCGGGUAGCCCUCCUCGGUCAAGCUCGGCCCGGCUCGGCCCGGCUCGGGCGGCCUCCUCGGGCAGCGCGCUUCGGGCUCCGUCCCGGCCUUCGGGCGGCCCCGGCCGGGGCCUUCGGGCGGGCUCGGCGGAGUCCGGAUGGAGGACUCGGACUCGGCCGCCAAGCAGCUGGGCCUGGCCGAGGCGGCGGCGGUGGCGGCCGCGGCCGCUGUGGCGGCGGCGGCCGCGGCCGCGGCGGGAGGCGAGGCGGAGGAGCCGGUGCUCAGCAGGGACGAGGACUCGGAGGAGGACGGAGACUCGGAGGCGGAGCGUGAGACGCGGCGGGUGACGGCCGUGGCGGUGAUGGCCGCCGAGCCCGGGCACAUGGACAUGGGCGCCGAGGCCCUGCCCGGCCCCGACGAGGCCGCCGCGGCCGCCGCCUUCGCAGAGGUGACCACCGUGACAGUGGCCAACGUGGGCGCCUCGGCGGACAACGUCUUCACCACGUCGGUGGCAAACGCCGCCUCGCUCUCGGGCCACGUGCUGUCGGGCAGGACAGCCCUUCAGAUCGGGGACAGUCUGAACACCGAGAAGGCCACGCUGAUCGUCGUGCACACGGACGGGAGCAUCGUGGAGACUGCCGGGCUGAAGGCACCCGCUGCCCCUCUCACCCCCGGUCCUCAGUCUCCUCCGACUCCUCUGGCUCCCGGCCAAGAGAAAGGUGGAACUAAGUACAACUGGGACCCAUCGGUGUACGACAGCGAGCUGCCUGUGCGCUGUCGGAACAUCAGUGGCACCUUGUAUAAGAGCAGGCUCGGCUCAGGAGGCCGGGGGCGCUGCAUUAAGCAGGGGGAGAACUGGUACAGCCCUACCGAGUUUGAAGCCAUGGCAGGAAGGGCCAGCAGCAAAGACUGGAAGAGAAGCAUCCGCUAUGCGGGGCGGCCGCUGCAGUGCCUCAUCCAGGACGGGAUCCUAAACCCUCAUGCCGCCUCCUGCACCUGUGCCGCCUGCUGUGAUGACAUGACCCUGAGCGGGCCCGUCAGGCUCUUCGUCCCCUACAAGAGGCGCAAGAAGGAGAGCGAGCUGCCCGCCACGCCCGUCAAGAAGGACGCCCCCAAGAACAUCACCCUGCUUCCCGCCGCAGCCGCCACCACCUUCACCGUGACCCCCUCAGGACAGAUCACUACCUCUGGCGCGCUGACCUUCGACCGGGCGUCCACCGUGGAGGCCACGGCGGUCAUCUCGGAGAGUCCGGCCCAGGGCGACGUCUUCGCGGGAGCCACAGUACAAGAGGCAGGCGUGCAGCCCCCAUGCAGGGUCGGCCACCCGGAGCCCCACUACCCAGGGUAUCAGGACAGCUGUCAGAUCGCACCGUUCCCGGAGGCCGCGUUGCCAACGUCUCAUCCCAAAAUAGUGUUGACAUCCUUGCCUGCCCUGGCGGUGCCGCCCUCCACCCCCACCAAAACCGUGUCUCCCGCUGUGGUCAGUGGGCUGGAGAUGUCGGAACAGCGGAGCUGGCUGUACCUGGAGGAGAUGGUCAAUUCCUUGCUCAGCACCGCGCAGCAGCUGAAGACGUUGUUUGAACAGGCCAAGCAGGCCAGCUCCUACCGAGAGGCCGCCGCGGCCCAGGCCAGAGUCCAGGCGGAUGCAGAGCGGAAAGAGGAAGAGCCCACAGUCACGGCCAGGCUCACCCCACAUUUAAGGGUCCAGAAGCUGAAUUCCUGUUGUGCAGAACUUCCCCCUCGACCCACCGUGGGACACGUGCUGACGUGCGUGUCCGUCGGGUCAGCCAGGAGCGUCUGCCGCAGCUGGAUCGCUGAGGUCCCCACCGUGAAAGGUUGGGCUUUGCAUUUCAUUUGUAAUUUUAUGAGUUUUUAAGAAACACAUACAACGUGAAAUCCUUUUAUCCUUAAGAUCCUGUUUGGCGGAAGGAUGCUCAGCCUUUAGUGAGGGGCUUGAGCCCACUUCCCCCGCCAAGGCAUCCGACACGUUCCUGCAUACUGAGCUUUGAAAAUGGCUGGAGCUCUUACAGGCGUGUUUGUCCUCUCUCCGGAGCUAUAGGUGUGACGUGUCCUCCAGUAGUUUUCCUGUAAGCUGAUCACAUGGCGGGGGGAAGCUGGGCAUCCGUCCUGUCCGGGUACCACCGGUGGGUGGACGCCAGUGUCCUUGCGUGUGUGCUGGCGUCGCGAGGCUCCUCGGGUGACCUGGUUAAGUUGCGUGCAGACGUGGGGUGGCCACCUUGUGCACCCGGUGUGUUCACCCUUCGUAACGGGCGGUGUGUCUGAUCCCUGUGGCCCCGUGAUGACCGAAGCGCCUGGACGCUGGGUUCUUGGGAACCGGACUCCUCAGAGAGCCUGUUCCCCAGGAUCCUCCGGGGGCUUCAGGGGGCUCGGGGGUGCUGAGAGGCCCUGACUUGAGUCACGUGUGAGUGAGGGGACGCAAAACGUGUCCCUGAAGCAGGUGAUGGCAGCGAGAAGCGGCCGGCGGGGCCUGGGGGACGAUGAGCCAGGAGGCCAGGUGGGGAGCACCGGUGGCUGUUGUGGAGAGGCUGCUGGACACCCUGACGUCGCCAGGGUGAGACAGAGCCCCCCAGCUGGAUGGUCGGGGGAGGGCCGCCCUGGAGAACUCUUCUGGAGGAUCCUGUCCACAGCAUCCUCCUUAGAGCGCUGGGGCUUGGUGGGGAAGACCGGACGAGUGAGGCCUCGGGACCCCGAGGAGGAGGCUGGACCCUCCCUCCCCGGCUGCCUGUGAGGGCGCAGGUGCUCGCGGCCCAGGGAGGGAAGCAGGGCUGCCUGCUUGGACGUUUUAUGUGGAAUUUCUUGAAAAAUCACGUUUUAACCCUGCUGAACUAUUAAGGAGAUUUUGCCAGUUUUAACCAUGGGGCAUUUGUGUUGUGUGUAUAUAGUUAGCUCAGCAGAGAUUAAACAGGGCGGAAGACCAGACGCCCUUCCCGUCAAGGGCGCCGUGUCCAGCACAAGCCAGCCACGUGGCUGCAGGGAGCUGGGCCGCCUGCCACGGCCCCUGGCUGGGGGACCGCGUGGACUCUGGGCCCCAUCACUCUGCUCUGGCCUGAGUUCAUGUCUCCCGGCUCCUUCUCAGGCCUUCGAUGAUCUUCCCAACUUCCUUUUCAAGAGGGAAUUAUGGCCCAAAGAGUAGCAGCGGUGGGCGGUCUGGGCAGCGCCUCUGGCUGCACCGCAGACACUGUUCUCAGCGCCGGAAGAGAGCCGGUGCCCGCGGGUCGGUCCGGUGACACCUCUUCCAGGCUGCAGACGUGCCUCCUGGCCGUACCGGGGCGGGGGGGAGGUCUCUGGUUUCUCUCUUCUCAUAAGCCCCCCGCCCCCCUCACAGACUCAUCUCACCCCAGGGCCCCAGGGCCCAAGGCCCAGCAUGUGCAUUUGGGGCAGAUCGGAGGUUUCCAUCUGUGAAGUGAUUUCCCCUUUUCCUCCCUUAGUCAGCCUGGGUGGGGGUCCCCCUCCUGGACAGGGGUGAUCCAGGAAUAUUUCCAGAAUUCUUCUCCGCGGGGGAUCUGUCUCUUGUACGUUUGUUUGUACCUUCGUUUGUAUCAAGAUGGGCUCAUGGCACUUGUGUUACUUGUUUUGCUCAUCCGGUUUGGCUUUGGCGGCUGGAGCGCUCAGUCGGCUCCCGCGUCCCUGACCUGCCCCUCAGAGCACCUCCCUCCUUUCUGGUGCUAGAAGACACUCCAGGCCCAUCUUGGGGGUUCCCCGCCCCAGCCCUGGAAUCGGCCGUUUCUCCAGGGAGCCUGCUUCCUUUAUUGGAGAACGAAUGCUCUUAGGAACCAAGAUCUGGGCGCUCUCGGCUGGCAGCAGGGAAGCAGUGGGUCCUGACCGGUGUGUGCAGACACAGCCCGAGGGCUGUGCCCGUCCGUCUCCGUCUGUACAGUAGCUGGCGUGUCUGACCCGGAUCUCCUGCUCCCAGUUAUCUUGGGUUAAGAAGUUAUUCCCGAGGGGAUGUGUUGGGAGCCCGGGGUCGGAAGUACUUGCCACACAGGAGCGGCUCCCGCCCCACGAGGCCUAGUCACGACCCAGGCUUUUGGUGCAGUUAAGAGGUAUUUACUGAGUGGUUGCUGUCUUCCAAGACCUGUGCUGGCGCCGGAGCACCGACGUGGCAGGUCCAGGUGAGCGGGGCUCGCGCUUCCCUGAGGACUUCCGAGCCGAGAGGCAGGAGGGUCCGUGGGGCCCCCGAGCCUCACGGGCAGCCGCACCUCUGCUCCCACUACCUGUGAGACCUUUGCUCUCCCUGGAGGAAUUGCUAUGUGUGGUUACAGACUUCGUUUUUUUUCUUUUGCUUUCCUACACGUACUUGGUGGCAAUGAAAUCCCCUGGUAUUUGGAGCA